rnacentral:rRNA from 1 species
CUACGGGAGGCAGCAGUCGAGAAUCAUUCACAAUGGGGGCAACCCUGAUGGUGCAACGCCGCGUGGAGGAAGAAGGUCUUCGGAUUGUAAACUCCUGUCAUCUAGGAGCAAGGCAUGGUGGUGAAUAGCUAACAUGAUUGAUAGUACUAGAAGAGGAAGGGACGGCUAACUUCGUGCCAGCAGCCGCGGUAAUA